CAAUAGCGUAUAUUAAAGUUGUUGCAGUUAAAAAGCUCGUAGUUGGAUUUGUGGCUGUCACGGGCGGCCUAUCACUUAGUGUUAGUGCUUGCCUGUGUCGCCAUCCUUGGGUGGAGCCCGUGUGGCAUUAGGUUGUCGUGCGGGGGAUGCCCAUCGUUUACUGUGAGAAAAUUAGAGUGUUCAAAGCAGGCUUAUGCCAUUGAAUAUGUUAGCAUGGAAUAAUAAGAUAGGACCUCGGUACUAUUUUGUUGGUUUGCGCACCGAGGUAAUGAUUAAUAGGGACAGUUGGGGGUAUUCGUAUUUCAUUGUCGGAGGUGAAAUUCUUGGAUUUCUGAAAGACGAACUACUGCGAAAGCAUUUACCAAGGAUGUUUUCAUUAA
rnacentral:rRNA from 1 species